ACGCAAUGACCUCUCGUGAAUUUGAUAAGACAUCCAGAUGUCUCCUGAAGCCUGAAGAGCCUGCAAAAUACAAGACAUCCGUUACCUUCUUGCUAUCAAGAAACAUCAUAUAUUUCCCCCAUCUGCUAACAGUAGAUGGAUCCUACAACUUUUGACGCCGUAUAGAAAACACAAUUCAAGAUUGAAACCGGUUUUGUAUUCAGUCAUACUCAAAGUAGAAAUAAGUCUUUAAAACAUAGGGGAUUCAAGGCGA